UACGUAGGUGGCAAGCGUUGUCCGGAAUUAUUGGGCGUAAAGCGCGCGCAGGCGGUUCUUUAAGUCUGAUGUGAAAGCCCACGGCUCAACCGUGGAGGGUCAUUGGAAACUGGGGAACUUGAGUACAGAAGAGGAAAGCGGAAUUCCACGUGUAGCGGUGAAAUGCGUAGAGAUGUGGAGGAACACCGGUGGCGAAGGCGGGUCUCUGGGCAGUAACUGACGCUGAGGAGCGAAAGCGUGGGGAGCGAACAGG
rnacentral:rRNA from 1 species